ensembl:lncRNA
AUGGCUACGGGAGCAUUUUCAGCUGAAGGUGGGACAACAUAUGGAAGAGUGAGAGAGAUGCACAUAGAGGAAGAGAGAGAUAUAACACGGCCGCACUUGGAUACUAUCAUAAGUGUCAGCCACGGUAUCUGUCUGGAGUCUCGGCGUCAGAGCUGGCAGGGUUCACCACCUGAGAAGACAAAGGUUCAAAGGUCAGCUAACAUCGGCACAAAAGCACUUAAAGGAUCAUGUUCAGCUCGACUGAAGUCACACACUUUCCGGCUAACAUCAAAAGGGAGGAGUGACAACGUACGCACAAAUAAAGAUAUGCGCUCACAUAAACGCAGUGUAUACACACACACACACAAACACACACAAACACACACACACACACACACACACACACACACACACACACACACACACACACACACACACACACACACACACACACACACACACAGCCCUGCUAUCUAUAAAAAGACAAGAGAGAGAGAAAGAGGGAAAGACACAGUGGUUGAAAGGGGGAAAACCUCCAUUAGGCAAGCGCAUCUCUAAUUUCAGAGUGAUAAGAGUAAUUAUUUGGCAUCAAAGUAUGACUGAUUCAUUUAUGUGCACAGCAGAUCCUCAUUGUUGUAUUGCUUUCUCCUCCCCUUCCUCAUCAUCAUCAUCCUUGGAAAAAGCAGUGGGGAGCAGGGGACACACGCGGCCUGAAGAUGGAAAACAUGUUGGAAAGGACGCAAGGAUAAAGGAGAAGAGUAAAAGUUGAAAUAGUAAGAAGGAAGGGAUGCUGAAGUGAACUGAAGACUCUUUCAAGAAGUGUAGAAACACUUGAAAAUGGGGAGGAAGCGAGUCCUCCCUUCCCAUUUGCACAUGUGUCGCUCCAUAAUGAGCGCACGCAAUGUCAGUUCCAUUUCCACAUUUACCUUGCAUGCAAACAGAUUACAGAGACUGAAACAUACAACACUGUGUAUGUGAGAUUUCCAGAGAAAGUUUAUUCCUUGAAGGCAUGCUUGACUUCGAUGAAAGCUGCCUAUUAGCUGGUCUGCUGAACCCUUACAACAUUAAGGACCACUGAAAGCUUAAAUCCAAACCAAACCACACACUGAUAAGCAUAUAACUAACUUGUAUAAACUGAUUUUUCAACAGAGAAGUUGAAAUUCAAAUGUAGCUUUUAACUUUUUAGUUGGUCCUCAAUCAGAACCUCCUUUUCCAGACAUUGUCAUAAUGAUUGGAGACUUGACUGUGAAACAAAGCUACAGUAAGUGUUGGGUUUGUGAAUCCACUGCCAAAAUAGUGUAGGAGUCUGCACACUAGAUAGAAUAGUCAGUAGUAGUAAUAAAAGCAACAGACUUCCAUCCAAAGCACACUUCUCCCCAUAGACAUGCAAUAGAAGAUAUGGAUACGGAGAGUACAUUUUACUGAUAGAGAACUAAGAAAACUUUUCGAGCUCCAUGUAGAGCAUCGAGAUGUGCUUACAGCUAUAUUAACCUACACCCACACAGACAAACAAAAACUUUUAGCAUGAAAAUCAAUCACCAUUGCGAUCUUUAAUGAAUGCGAUGGUAGACUGCGGACAGUCUAAGACAUGAGGAAGUAAUGGAAAGAUCUUUUAUCGAGAGUGAAAAAAGAUUAUUUCCCCAAUUUUACAGGAUUGAACAGCAUCGAUAGUUCAAAGCUGUCAGUGCCAACGGUUGAAGUGCAUGCCUCAGACAACUUUUCUGAAAGUAUGUGUGUGCUUCUAUUAACUUCUUGAACACAACGUCAUUACAAGACUGCUCUCAUGGCUUGAAAACAUGGGUUAGGACAUGGGUUAGGACAUGGGGGAGCAGCAUCACAACAAAAAAAAAAAAAAAAAAAGAAACCUAAAGCACAGUUCUGUCAUUUAUCUCAUUUCACUUUCUUAUCAUUAGUAUGCUUAGGUUGUGUUUUUUACGUAGAACACUGUGUCCUCUUUCUUUUAUUUGCUGAAGCAUCCUCGUACCACCAUCCUUGUACAUCUCACUGAUGAACCAGAUGAAUCUUGUUGGGUUUGAUUUAUUGUAAAUCAAUAAGAGUGCUGGACUACCAGGAAGUAUACGUUUGCUUUACUUUUGUAAAACAGCAAUAAUCCAAACAGACCAUUUACAAUACAGUGAAUCACAGAGCAUAAAAUACUACCCUCUGAGACACUACCUGAUACUCACGUCCCUCCCUGUGCGGGAAAAUCUGACAGUCUCCUGCAAACUGGAUGAGACACAGUCACAGAAAAUCAAAGUAGAACAACUGUACAGUAUUUGCUUUGUGUGGUUUGAAACGGUCACACCUUGAAUAAUAGAGCAUAACUGACAAGGGUGUUGGUUUGUGUAAUGAAUGUAAUGUUGUAGUGCUGCAAGAAAAACCGGUUUCCAGUUUCAUUGUGAUUGCAGGUCUAUUCACAACUCUGACAUAUGCAUGUGCACACACACAAACACAUCAGACUUACAAGUACACUGGUGAAGAUAGCCUGUACAGAAAACAACCUCAUCAUGACAAAAAAAAUCAAAUUACUUAAAUACUUGCGUUACACUUGUUAACUUUGUAUUCAUUUUUAUGUAUUUGAGUAAUAUCUUGACUAUGACACUCUCAAUUUUGUUGAGCCAUUUUUUUGUUUGUUUAGAAAACACUGGACAGCUGGCAAACAAAAUGUGACAGGAGAGGUUAAGCAUAAAAAAUUGAGGUUGGUGAGAGUUGUAGAAGUUGUUGACGUCUGUCUUAUUCUUGUUGAAAGCCAAUGUGUUACACAAUAAACAAGAAUACAUGAUUCAGCAUAUUAUGUCUCGGACAGUGACUCAAAGCUAUGACUGGUGCAGGAUACAAAUCUGAUUCCUUGAAAAGCUGAGCAAGAAGUUAAGCAGGACGUACAGCCUGCGUUUUCCUUGAGUGCAGACCAAAAAGACCAUACACAGCAAAAGCUGCAAAACACAAGCGCAUCAAAAAGAGCAGACGGACAGUCGGUGCAAAAUCAAUUGCUCAGGCAUAUGAUUGAUCAUCAUUUAAAGAUGUAAGUCGGUAAUCUGUUCUAGUUUUUAGUUCAAUACCAACAAAUAUUUAAAAAUGUGCACAAAAAUCA